AACAAUCUAAGUUAUUUUAAGACUAUCUGUCUUCAAAACAGAAAGAGGUUUUACCGUUUGUUG
rnacentral:tRNA from 1 species